rnacentral:tRNA from 1 species
CACCGCGUAGCUCAGUUGGAAGAGCAUUGGGCUAGUAUUCCAAAGGUCGUAGGUUCGAAUCCUACCAUGGCCG